AGCGCUAAGAGAAUGGACUUUCAAAAAAAUUCUUUUUUAAAUUUAAAAAUUGAAGUUAUUUUUAUAUGUGAAGAAACAGUAAUAUAAAUUAAAGACAAGAAGACCCUAUGAAUUUUUAUAUAUUUUCAUAUAAUAUUUAUAUGAAAAUAUAUUUAAUUGGGGCGAUUAUAAAAUAUUACUAACUUUAAUUAAAAAUUAAUAUGAUCCAUUAUUAAUGAUUAAAUGAAAUAAAUACUCUAGGGAUAACAGCG
rnacentral:rRNA from 1 species